rnacentral:lncRNA from 1 species
CUUUGAGAUUGAUCGAGAGGUUUAGCAACAACAAUAAGACAGUGGAAGGCAACUCGAUCAAAAUGGUGGCAUAGGGUGGGUGUGCUGAACAAAGCGCCUGAUCAUCUCAUGCCUCCUACGAAGUUCACUUCGUGAAAUGAAGUGAAGAAGAAGAAGAAGAAGAAGAAGAAGAAGAAGAAGAAGAAGAAGAAGAAGAAGAAAGGCUUCAAGCUAGCUGGAGACCUGCAGUUUUGUGCACAACGGUUGGUCAUAUUGGGAGAUGGACUUUUGAAACAGAUACUGCUCA